rnacentral:rRNA from 1 species
UGAGCGGCAAACAGCUCAAAUUUGAAAUCUGGCACUUUCAGUGUCCGAGUUGUAAUUUGAAGAAGGUAUCUUUGGGUCUGGCUCUUGUCUAUGUUUCUUGGAACAGAACGUCACAGAGGGUGAGAAUCCCGUGCGAUGAGAUGUCCCAGACCUAUGUAAAGUUCCUUCGAAGAGUCGAGUUGUUUGGGAAUGCAGCUCUAAGUGGGUGGUAAAUUCCAUCUAAAGCUAAAUAUUGGCGAGAGACCGAUAGCGAACAAGUACAGAUGAUGGAAAGAUGAAAAGAACUUUGAAAAGAGAGUGAAAAAGUACGUGAAAUUGUUGAAAGGGAAGGGCUUGAGAUCAGACUUGGUAUUUGUAUGUUACUCUCUCGGNGGUGGCCUCUACAGUUUUACCGGGACCAGCAUCAGUUUGAGCGGUAGGAUAAAGUGCAAAGAAAUGUGGCACUGCGUUCGGUAGUGUGUUAAUAGUCUUUGUCGAUACUGCGCAGUCAUUAGACUGAGGGACUGCGGCUUCGGGCCUAGGGAUGUUGGGCAUUAAU